ensembl:snoRNA LOC120102645 small nucleolar RNA SNORA48
ACCCCCUGGCAGUGGGCAGAGAGACACCUAGGUUGUGGUGUUGUUCUUACAUCAGUCAGGGGCAGAGCACAUGGCAGGAGGCCUUUGCUCAUCCUAGCUUGAUGCCUGGCUUGGUGGCCAAAGCUGUUUCAUGCCUAGGGCACAUGA